rnacentral:sRNA from 1 species
GCUGGACUUGGUGGUGUGAUCCUGUCUCCCGCUGAGGCGGGAGGAUUCACGCACACAGGACUUCUGGGACUUCUGGGAGGUAGUGUGCUAUGACCAUCAGUGGGAAUGUAGUCACCCCUGGGAGCAGGGGACCACCAGGUUGUCAAAGGAAGAGUCAGCUGGCCCAGGUUGGAAACAGAGCAGGUCAAACUCCUGUGUUGAUCAAUAGUGGAAUCAAAUCUGUGAAUAGCCACUGUGCUCCAGCCUGGGCAACAUAGUGAGACCCUGUCUCU